rnacentral:rRNA from 1 species
AUGAGGCUGAACAAGCACCAGGAAAAUAAAGCAAACUACUCUGAGGCUGGUUCUUCAAUGGUUGCAACUACACAAAGGCCACCAAGGGUACCUGCUGCCUCUGCACCUGCACCAAAUCCUCCUCCAACAACAAAUGAGUCAACACAGACAGCUUGUAGAUCAAGGAAGAGGGCAACACUAGCUACAACAUCAGCACCACCACCUCUCAAGAAGAGCAGGACCAACACCUCUUCUGCAACACUAGUACCACCUCCCAAGAAGAAGAACACAACUAUUUCUGGCAAUGGAUCAAGGUCUUCUCCAGCAAAGAACACCAGGUCAUCAAGGUCUUCUCCAGCAAAGAACACCAGGUCAUCAAGGUCUUCUCCAGCAAAGAACACCAGGUCAGCUGUUGCCAAUAGAGCUGGCAAUGGAUCUUUCAUUGCUCCUAGACAAUCUUCUACAAGUGCUGUGCAGGAGGGGUCAAAGAGGGUCAGGAAGCCAUCUGGGAGGCUGAAAGAUUACUUUUAUGCAAGUGGUAACUAG